rnacentral:lncRNA from 1 species
UAAGAUAUUAAUCUAAUAAGGUGUCCCAUCAUAGAGCCCUGACUGAGGUUAAGAUAUUAAUCUAAUAAGGUGUCCCAUCAUAGAGCCCUGACUGAGGUUAAGAUAUUAAUCUAAUAAGGUGUCCCAUCAGAGCCCUGACUGAGGUUAAGAUAUUAGUGAGAAACCGAAUGGCUUCAUCUUGCCUGCUUAAAGCUAAGAAGUGGGAAUAUAGGGUGAGUAAUGAGAUCCCAGGGGACUGAAGAACUUUACAAAGAUGUCUGGCACCAAUGCCUGAUUCCUUCCACCAGACCUCAAGAAACAAUAUUGUAAAACUUCAAUAAAACAACUGCUUAAAUUGUUCCCACAGUCAUUUUUCCAUCGGGCUUCAAUCCACAAGUCGUGCGUGCAGCUAGCUACUCCACUGGUGAAAUAACAAUCAAUUGAACUCAAUGCAAUGCAGCAGAGGGCGGGGAUAGCGCAGCAGAGGGCGGGGAUAGCGCAGCAGAGGGCGGGGAUAACGCAGCAGAGGGCGGGGAUAACGCAGCAGAGGGCGGGGAUAACGCAGCAGAGGGCGGGGAUAACGCAGCAGAGGGCGGGGAUAGCGCAGCAGAGGGCGGGGAUAGCGCAGCAGAGGGCGGGGAUAGCGCAGCAGAGGGCGGGGAUAGCGCAGCAGAGGGCGGGGAUAGCGCAGCAGAGGGCGGGGAUAGCGCAGCAGAGGGCGGAGAUAACGCAGCAGAG